AUUGAACGCUGGCGGCAGGCCUAACACAUGCAAGUCGAACGAGUGGCGGACGGGUGAGUAAUGUCUGGGAAACUGCCUGAUGGAGGGGGAUAACUACUGGCCACGGUAGCUAAUACCGCAUACCAUCGGAUGUGCCCAGAUGGGAUUAGCUAGUGGGUGGGGUAUAGGCUCACCUAGGCGACCAUCCAUAGCUGGUCUGAGAGGAUGACCAGCCACACUGGAACUGAGACACGGUCCAGACUCCUACGGGAGGCAGCAGUGGGGAAUAUUGCACAAUGGGCGCAAGCCUGAUGCAGCCAUGACGCGUGUAUGAAGAAGGCCUUCGGGUUGUAAAGUACUUUCAGCGGGGAGGCGGUACCCGCAGAAGAAGCACCGGCUAACUCCGUGCCAGCAGCCGCGGUAAUAC
rnacentral:rRNA from 1 species